rnacentral:rRNA from 1 species
AUUGAACGCUGGCGGCAUGCCUAACACAUGCAAGUCGAGCGGAUGAAGGGGGCUUGCUCCUGGAUUCAGCGGCGGCCGGGUGGGUCAUGCCCAGGAAUCUGCCUUGACGUGGGGGAUGACGUCCGGAUACGGGCGCUAAUACCGCAUCCGUCCUGAUGUAGAAAGUGGGGGAUCUUCGGACCUCACGCUAUCAGAUGAGCCUAGGACGGAUUAGCUAGUUGGUGGGGUAACGGCAUACCAAGGCGACGAUCCGUAACUGGUCUGAGAGGAUGAUCCGUCACACUGUAACUGAGACACGGUCCAGACUCCUACGGGAGGCAGCAGUGGGGAAUAUUGGACGAUGGGCGAAAGCCUGAUCCAGCCAUGCCGCGUGAGUGAAGAAGGUCUUAGGAUGGUAAAGCACUGUAAGUUGGGAGGAAGGAAAGUAAGUUUACACCUGACGGUUUUGACGGUACCGACAGAAUAAGCACCGGCUAACUUCGUG